GUGUGUGUGUGUGUGUGUGUGUGUGUGUGUGUGUGUGUGUGUGUGUGCCAGCCUUACAAGAGAAUGGCAGGAGGUCCCUGGGCAGGCGCAGGCCUCCAGUGGGAGGCUCAGGAUGGAAGCGCGCGCCCCUGACCUUGAAUGGCCCAAAGCCCAGAAUUCCUACCACGCCCCCGGCGUCCGCGAAGGAGCAGCCAACCUAACCCUACCUGCUGUGACCAGGUGGAGGUGUGUGGUGGAAGGGGAAAGCCGGCCGGCUGGCAAAGCGCUGCGGAGAAAGACACGAGGCUCCUGCGCAGGGAAAGCCGAGGUUGCCACCGCAGGCCUGGCACGACCAGGGCCGUGAUGCCCCGCCCGGCCCGACCCCCGCGCGCAGAGGUACCUGGAGACGAUUUCAACUGAAGUAAUGAAGGCAGUGUCGUGCUGUCGAGAGAAAGGUGGAUCCCAACAACAGGAAACUACCUAAAUCACCGACCAGUUCUGGUGCUGCCCGCGAAGGGCUGCCUCGCCCGCCGCCGCCGCCGCCUCCGCCGCUGCCGCCGCCGCCGCCGCCGCCGCCGCCGCCAAGGAGAGAACCCUGCCAUCGCGCCUGGCCCGGCCCAGCCCAGCCCCUAGGCAACCUGCGCCCGCCAGUGCAACAGAGUGCCCCAGGCGGCCGCAAAUGCGUCAAGGAAGGGGAAGCCACAGGCCCCAGUAAGCCAAAGUCAAGCCCGUUUGCCAACCUGCAUGUCCAUGCCUGUAAGCCCUUCUCUUGGCCAAGGAAGAAAGGAAGAAAGAAAAAAGAAACCCAGGGGCCUGUAUCCCCUGAUUAAACACAGCACAGCACUCCAGGCAGACAUGCCCGGUGGCGGCUCCUUUGCACCAUUGACCUCAGGCCAGACACCUCAGCGCCAACAAUGGGACCUCGGCCUUCCGGCUAGGUUUGCCCCAGGCUGGGCAGGAAACCAGCUCGGCCGAAGACAGGGGCCAUUUCGAGCAGUGGGACCCCAAGACAGCAAACCCAGCCCAGUCACGACUUGACACUUAGGACAAUAUCUAUCUCUAUAGAAUUUUAGCACGAUAUGGCUUUUUCCCCCAGAAAACAACAAAUAAACCAGCACCAAGCAAACACAAAGAAACAAAAAGUCAGAACAAACCAGCCCUGCACAGAUGUAAC
rnacentral:antisense_RNA from 1 species